UACGUAGGGGCCUAGCGUUGUCCGGAUUUAUUGGGCGUAAAGAGCUCGUAGGCGGUUCGGCAAGUCGGAUGUGAAAUCUCCACGCUCAACGUGGAGGGGCCAUUCGAAACUGCCGUGACUCGAGUCCGGUAGGGGAGUGUGGAAUUCCCGGUGUAGCGGUGAAAUGCGCAGAUAUCGGGAAGAACACCCAUGGCGAAGGCAGCUCUCUGGGACGGUACUGACGCUGAGACGCGAAAGCGUGGGGAGCGAACAGG
rnacentral:rRNA from 1 species